AACCAUGCGGUGCACACAAAGCGAACUAUUCUUUCGUUUUUUACUGAAGAAUAUCGUGUGUGCACAGCUAACAAUGGCAUACACCACUUUUUGGAGGAUCCGCUCAAUAUGUGUUG